rnacentral:rRNA from 1 species
CACCGGCGGCUCGAGUGUUGGCCACUUUUAUUGGGUCUAAAGCGUCCGUAGCCGGCUUGGCAAGUCCCCUGGGAAAUCUGGCGGCUUAACCGUCAGGCGUCCAGAGGAUACUGCCAGGCUUGGGACCGGGAGAGGUGAGAGGUACCUCAGGGGUAGGGGUGAAAUCUUGUGAUCCCUGAGGGACCACCAGUGGCGAAGGCGUCUCACUAGAACGGGUCCGACGGUCAGGGACGAAAGCUGGGGGCACGAACCGG